GACGAACGCUGGCGGCGUGCUUAACACAUGCAAGUCGAACGGAAAGGCCCUGCUUUUGUGGGGUGCUCGAGUGGCGAACGGGUGAGUAACACGUGAGUAACCUGCCCUUGACUUUGGGAUGACUUCAGGAAACUGGGGCUAAUACCGGAUAGGAGCUCCUGCCGCAUGGUGGGGGUUGGAAAGUUUCGGCGGUUGGGGAUGGACUCGCGGCUUAUCAGCUUGUUGGUGGGGUAGUGGCUUACCAAGGCUUUGACGGGUAGCCGGCCUGAGAGGGUGACCGGCCACAUUGGGACUGAGAUACGGCCCAGACUCCUACGGGAGGCAGCAGUGGGGAAUAUUGCACAAUGGGCGGAAGCCUGAUGCAGCAACGCCGCGUGCGGGAUGACGGCCUUCGGGUUGUAAACCGCUUUCGCCUGUGACGAAGCGUGAGUGACGGUAAUGGGUAAAGAAGCACCGGCUAACUACGUG
rnacentral:rRNA from 1 species